GAAAUGCGAUAAGUAGUAUAAAUUGUAGAAUUCAGUGAAUUAUCGAAUCUUUAAACGCAUAUUACGCCCUUUAGUAUUCCGAAGGGUAUACCUAUUCGAGCGUUAUUUAAACUCUUAAGCUUAGCUUGGUUUUAGGCGUCUAUCGCUGCGUACAGCGACUCGCCUUAAAGUAAUCGGCUACUAGUACCUUAACUACGGCGUAUAGUAUAGUAUUACUACCGGGUCGUCUAGUACCUGGGUUAGCCGUAUAAACACCCUUUUUCUUAAAUUUAACCUCGGAUUAGGUAGGAAUACCCGCUAAACUUAA
rnacentral:misc_RNA from 1 species